CCUACGGGUGGCAGCAGUGAGGAAUAUUGGUCAAUGGGCGCAAGCCUGAACCAGCCAAGUAGCGUGAAGGAUGACUGCCCUACGGGUUGUAAACUUCUUUUAUAAAGGAAUAAAGUUAGGCACGUGUGGCUUUUUGUAUGUACUUUAUGAAUAAGGAUCGGCUAACUCCGUGCCAGCAGCCGCGGUAAUACGGAGGAUCCGAGCGUUAUCCGGAUUUAUUGGGUUUAAAGGGAGCGUAGAUGGGUUGUUAAGUCAGUUGUGAAAGUUUGUGGCUCAACCGUAAAAUUGCCAUUGAUACUGGAAGCCUUGAGUAUAGUUGAGGUAGGCGGAAUUCGUGGUGUAGCGGUGAAAUGCUUAGAUAUCACGAAGAACUCCGAUUGCGAAGGCAGCUUACUAAGCUGCCACUGACAUUGAUGCUCGAAAGUGUGGGUAUCAAACAGGAUUAGAUACCCCAGUAGUC
rnacentral:rRNA from 1 species